rnacentral:snRNA from 1 species
AAUGACGAACGGAAAGACAG